CAAUAGCGUAUAUUAAAGUUGUUGCAGUUAAAAAGCUCGUAGUUGAAUUUCUGGCGGGCGCGCCGGUCUUCCAAGUGUUGUACUGGGCGCAGUCCGCCAUCCUUGUGGAGAGGGCUCGCAUUGAGUUGCGUGUCGGAUCUGCAUCAUUUACUGUGAAAAAAUUAGAGUGUUUAAAGCAGGCUGUCGCUUGAAUACAUUAGCAUGGAAUAAUAAGAUAGGACUUCGGUCUAUUUUGUUGGUUGCGAACCGAGGUAAUGAUUAAUAGGGAUAGUUGGGGGUAUUCAUAUUUAAUUGUCAGAGGUGAAAUUCUUGGAUUUAUGAAAGAUGAACAACCGCGAAAGCAUUUACCAAGGAUGUUUUCAUUAA
rnacentral:rRNA from 1 species